rnacentral:rRNA from 1 species
AUUGAACGCUGGCGGCAGGCCUAACACAUGCAAGUCGAACGAGUGGCGGACGGGUGAGUAAUGUCUGGGAAACUGCCUGAUGGAGGGGGAUAACUACUGGAAACGGUAGCUAAUACCGCAUACACUCAGAUGUGCCCAGAUGGGAUUAGCUUGUUGUGGGGGUAACGGGUCACGAAGGCGACGAUCCCUAGCUGGUCUGAGAGGAUGACCAGCCAGACUGGGACAGAUGCACGGUCCAGACGCCUACUGGAGGCAGGAGUGGGGAAUAUUCCUCAAUGGGCGCAAGCCUGAUGCAGCCAUGCCGCGUGUAUGAAGAAGGCCUUCGGGUUGUAAAGUCCUUUCAGCGGGGAGGCGUUACCCGCAGAAGAAGCACCGGCUAACUCCGUGCUAGCAGCCGCGGUAAUUC